rnacentral:lncRNA from 1 species
AUUAUACAAGUUAAACAUGAUUAGAAGUAACAAAGGUGUCCUCCCUCCCCCCUCUCUCACCCUAAAGAAAUACUCUAGAAAACCAAGCCAAGAGGAAAAAAAAAAGAAACAAAAAUUUUCUUCCUCCAUCCCUCCUCUUCUUCCCUCCAGCUGCAGGAGGUGGAGGAGAGGGAUCAAAGUCAGACUCACCCAAACCAGAAACCAAGGAAAGAGAGAAGAGAGAGAGUGUUUAGAGAGAGAGAGGGAGAGAACACUAUACAACCAACCAAAGUCAACGCCAAAGGAGCGAUUUUUUUUUUUGUGGUCUUACUCCGGGC